ACCAAUUAUAUUUCUUGUUUUAUGGAUCCGCCAGUCAUAUUUUUUCAAGAAUAAGGAAAAAAAAUAAUAAAAUUUCCCUACUCAAAACUAAAAUCUUAAUGUUUUUAUGGGCCUUACAAGAAUUUUUUUUGUUGUUGUUUUUGCCCCAUAUACACUUUAUAUAUUGCCAUAAGUAAAAUAAUUUUGUAUUUUAAAGGAAUAUUACUUUGACUAGUGAUUCCAU